UAUAGCUGGUUCUCCCCGAAAUAGCUUUAGGGCUAGCGUCGAGGUAAAGUUACAUGGAGGUAGAGCACUGAAUGUACGAUGGCCCCAUCCCGGGGUACUGAGUAUAAUCAAACUCCGAAUGCCAUGAUAAUAUACUCGGCAGUCAGACUGUGGGUGAUAAGGUCCAUGGUCAAAAGGGAAACAGCCCAGACCGCCAGUUAAGGUCCCAAAAUGUAUGCUAAGUGGAAAAGGAUGUGGGGAUGCACAGACAACUAGGAGGUUGGCUCAGAAGCAGCCACCCUUCAAAGAGUGCGUAACAGCUCACUAGUCGAGUGACCCUGCGCCGAAAAUGUACCGGGGCUAAGCAUACUACCGAAGCUGCGGAUUUGUAGAGAUACAAGUGGUAGGGGAGCGUUGCAUGCACGUGGAAGCCAUAUCGUGAGGAGUGGUGGAGAGCAUGGAAGUGAGAAUGCCGGUGUGAGUAGCGAGAUGUAGGUGAGAAUCCUACACACCGAUAGCCCAAGGAUUCCAGGGGAAGGUUCGUCCGCCCUGGGUAAGUCGGGACCUAACGCGAGGCCGAAAGGCGUAGUGGAUGGAAAACAGGCAGAUAUUCCUGUACCCGCGAUGGGAAGUGAAGGAAUGACGGAGAAGGCUAGCAUGACCCACUGAAUGGAUUGUGGGCGAAGCGGAGCAGCAGGUAUGUAGUGAAAUGCGCAUACGAAAUGCAGGACGUGAUAGGUAAGUGAACGUUUCGACAAGUAACGAAGCAUGUGAGGCCAGCUUCCAAGAAAAGUUUCUAAGCGAUUAAUCCCAUAGCGGCCCGUACCAAAACCGACACAGGUGGGCAAGGAGAGGAUCCUGAGGUGAGCGAGAGAACUGUUGCCAAGGAACUCGGCAAAAUGACUCCGUAAGUUAGCGAUAAGGAGUGCUUAUGUAAAAGUAAGCCGCAGUGAAGAGGCCCAAGCGACUGUUUAACUAAAACACAGCUCUCUGCGAAGUCGCAAGACGAAGUAUAGGGGGUGACGCCUGCCCGGUGCUGGAAGGUUAAGAGGAUUUGUCAGUCGCAAGAUGAAGCAAUGAAUUGAAGCCCCAGUGAACGGCGGCCGUAACUAUAACGGUCCUAAGGUAGCGAAAUUCCUUGUCAGGUAAG
rnacentral:rRNA from 1 species